UAGGCCUCAAUGUCCUCAUCUGUAAAAUGGGGAAGUGGUACCACCUGCGUGGGGUGGUGGUGCGGAUUCAGUGAGUUAGUCACCUAGACACUGAGAUCCGGAGAUUGGCAGAGUCAGGACUUGGAUGUCAGCUACUUCUUCUUAUUGGGGUGAUGGUAGUGGGGGCUGGGGGCAUUACUAUUAUUAGGACUAUGUGCUGAGAAAGUGCUAGGUACUGGGCAUGUCACAUACUAGCCUUUCAAAUGGAAACUUGUUCUCUGCCAUGUGUGAAUAGUGAAUACCUAAGCGUGACUUGGUGGUGUGGGGAGGACUGUGAGCUGAUGGCUGACUGUUGUUGGGGAAAACUAGAAUCCUAUGUCAAAGGGCAGAACUGGGAUGCAGGUUCUACUGAUUCCUCACCCCUGCAAUGGGGAAGGGCCGAAAGGAGGAUACCUUAUAACGGAGGCCAAAAUGAUAAAUAUUCUCAGUGCAGCUCAUCUAGUCAUGAAAAUCACUGCCUACUGCACACAGCAGUGUAUGCCGGAUGUGCUGGUAAGAUUAAACCACGUCUUCUAAGGAAAAAAAAAUUUGGAGACAGAGUCUCACUCUGUUGCCCUGGCUAGAGUGCAGUGGCACAGUCUCGGCUCACUGCAACCUCUGCCUCCUGGGUUCAAGCCAUUCUCCCACCUCAGCCUCCUGAGUAACUGGUGUUACAGGCGCAUGCCACCACUGCCGGCUAAUUUUUGUAUUUUUAGUAGAGACUGGGGUUUCACCAUGUUGGCCAAGCUGGUCUCAAACUCCUGACCUCAGGUAAUCCACCCACCUUGGCCUUCCAAAGUACUGGGAUUCCAGGCGUGAGCCACUGUGCCUGGCCAGGAAAAUUUUUUUGUACCCUGCAAAGUUGAUCCCAGUCCUCAUGAUCUCAGGUAUAUUUGCCUCUAGUAGGGUCUAACUAACUUGGACACUGCUACUUUUAAAACUGCAUUUAUCUUUGGUCAUAAACACCAAACUACUUCUCCUCUGCGGGCCACAGCAAAGGUGUUUAAACAGCAAAGGCAGAAACCCAGUCACCUUCGUGCACAGAAUCACACCACACAAAGAAGCGUCAGGUCAUGAGAAUUCCAAGUCCUUGCGUGAAAUUACCAACCAUGCCCAUCAAUUGGGAAACCGUGACUGAUUCCCAAACACGAUCUCCAGUGGUCACGCCUUGUUUUUGACUGGUCUGCACAUGCAGUCGAGGCUGACGAAAAGUUCACACUCUCACCACUUGUUCUGGCAUUCUGAAUAGCCUCAAUUAAAAAAAGAAAUGAGAAAAUUAUUUAAGUAGCUAUAAAUUGCCCUUCCUGGUUCUGCUUGGCAUUGGUUAUAUUUACUUAUUAUUCCCAUCUGUUUUCCCAUGGCAGAUUCUGUGUCUGGCAGUAGAGUUACUUUAUAGCCUUUUGCCAGACAGAUUAAUUUCCUUUACUUCCCACUUUAAUUAUGAAUUUCUAUCUUGUUGUCUCAGGGACUGAAUCCGUUUGAAUUGGUCUCUCAGGUUGGCUCAGACAGAGGGCGAGACUUGAACAGCAAAUUUCUCAUGAUGCAAGGAAAACUGCUUGAAGUGAGAUAAACAAGGCAAAAGUAUCAAAUCCUAAACAAGCCGCCACUUUCCUGGCUGGGGAUACUGCUCAGGAUUUUGUUACUGAUCAGCAUUAUUGAUUGAUUCUGGCUCAAGCAGGGAGAAAAUUAACUCAGCCCAUCUGACGGGCUUCGUAGCCCAUGGUAGCCAGCCUCCAAGGUGGCUCCCAAGCAGCUUUGCCUCCUGGGCUUCUCACCUUGUUGUAGUCUUUCCCACACGGAAUCAUGCCCAUCCUAGUGACCAGUAGAAUACUGUGAGAGUGUGUGACUUCCCAGACUCAGUUAUAAAAGGCAUCAUAUCUUCAGCUUUGUUAUCUGGGAUCAUUUGCUCUGGAAGAAGUGGCAGCCAUGUUAUGAGAACACUCAAGCGUCUCUGUGGAGAUGCCCACAUAGAAAGGUACUGAGGCCUCCUGCCAACAGCCAGCACUAACUUGGCAGCCACGAAAGUGGGUCGUUUAGAAAUGGUUCCUCUAGCCCCAGGCGAACCCUUGGAUGACAGCAAUCUUGGCUGUCACUGUGACUGCAGCCAUAGGAGACACCCUGAGCUGGAACCACCCAGCUAAGUUGCUACCAAAUUCCUGACCCAGAAAAACUGUGAGAUAAUAAACAUUCAUUG
rnacentral:lncRNA from 1 species